GAUGAAGAACGUAGCGAAAUGCGAUACUUUGUGUGAAUUGCAGAAUCCCGCGAAUCAUCGAGUUUUUGAACGCAAGUUGCGCCCGAAGCCAUUCGGCCGAGGGCACGUCUGCCUGGGUGUCACGCAUCGUUGCCCCCCCAAACUCCGGUUUGGGCGGGGCGGAAGUUGGCCUCCCGUGGGUGCCUGCGCGCGCGGUUAGCCCAAAAGCGAGUCCUCGGCGACGAGCGCCACGACAAUCGGUGGUUUUUUUACCCUCGUUCCUCGUCGUGCGUGCCCCGUCGCCCGAACGUGCUCUUGCGACCCUUACGCGUCGCCUCGGCGGCGCUCCCAACGCGACCCCAGGUCAGGCGGGACUACCCGCUGAGUUUAAGCAUAUCAAUAAGCGGAGGA
rnacentral:misc_RNA from 1 species